GGAUGUGAGGGCAAUCUGGCUGAGACAUCUGUCAGCCCAUCCAUUGCCAGGACUGAUUCAGCUGAUGUGGUUGGCUAGGUGGGUGUCCCUUUCCUCCUUCACCAGUCCAGGUGUGUCCCUCCUGAAGCUAUGCGCUCAAAGAGGACAUCCAUUCCUGAUAGAGGAGGGCCAGUCUUCAGUCAAAGUAUACUAGCAGCUGCAUUCCCCUGCAGCUACUCCAAACAAGUUCUCAUUAGUUGUAUGCCUUGGAUAAUAAUAAGAUCCAGCAGGCAGGCACUUUGUCUUCUGUAUCUCU
ensembl:misc_RNA 7SK 7SK RNA